UACAGAGGGUGCAAGCGUUCAUCGGAUUUACUGGGCGUAAAGGGCGCGUAGGUGGUUACAUAAGUGAGAUGUGAAAGCCCCGGGCUUAACCUGGGAACUGCAUCUUAUACUGUGUAGCUGGAGUGCAAUAGAGGGUAGUGGAAUUUCCGGUGUAGCGGUGAAAUGCGUAGAUAUCGGAAGGAACACCAGUGGCGAAGGCGGCUACCUGGAUUGACACUGACACUGAGGCGCGAGAGCGUGGGGAGCAAACAGG
rnacentral:rRNA from 1 species